rnacentral:rRNA from 1 species
GACCACAAACAACAUGACGGUACUAACUUCUACUUAUCCAGCUUUCAAAAGUUUUUUUUUUGCUUCCCCCAUAUAAUUACAUGGGAAACAUUAUGGGUUGAACCUAGAUUUCCUUUAUUUGUGGUGUACAGCGGUUGACCGGUAGUGAAGCGCACAGGCCGGCCAACGCAAACAAAACCGUAGUCUCAAAGGCGGCCGUCUAACUGUUUCUGUGCGCUCCGUCUGUGCGAGCAGCAGCAGCAGUUGAGGUUGUGGGUAAAUGGUUUGCUGAUGUAAGGUAGCAAUGGUGCUUGUCGACCCGCCUGCUUUGACGGACCCUUGAACAAUGGUACCCUUAACCGUCUCUAAAUCAGCACAACUAAAUUGAAGAUUAAAGACUAUAAAUAUUGGAAGCGUUUCUUCAUCGUUACCCCCUCCAACCACGACUUAGACGUCCGUACUAGAUGUGGGUUCUACCGUGCCACCUGUAGUUCCCGUUGGCACGGCAGUUCUCGUUGUGGCCGUUGACCGCGCGGACGGGGAUGUAGGAGCGCUUGCUCACAACGCUCGCCGACCGCAUGAUGCCGUACUCGCGGUUGGACCCGUUGAAGUACGACCUGUUGUACCCGUACUUGUUGUGGUGGCGGCGGUUGUCGCAGUGGUUGACCCCGCCGUGGACGAUGCGGUGGUGGGAGUAGCCGCGGAAGGAGCGGCUGCGGAUGGAGCCGGCGAAGACCUGGUAGCGGAGGAAGCAGUGGUAGAUGUAGUAGCCGGAGCCCGAGGAGUGCCAACGCCGGAGCCACUUCCGCGACCAUGGCUGCACGCGCCGGUUCCCCCACACGCUGGGCUGCCGCCCCGUCUGCCGGCGCCACAAGCACCCGGACAUGGAGCAGCGGGACCCGUGCCCGCCGUAGUUCGGGACGCACAGGAGGAAGCCCCGGCUGGUCAAGCUGCUCUUGCUGCUGCCGCUCGCGGCCUCGUUCUCGAGGAAGAAGUUGACCAAGAUGGACAGGUAGUUGUAGCCGCGCGAGCACCGCAGCAGGCACUACCACAUGCACGUCCUCGUGAUGCCGACCCCGACCCCGAAGCCGUAGGGGCGGCAGCAGUACCGGUAACGGCAGCCGUCGAAGAAGCAGCCGUGCGGCGAGAUGGCGGUGGUCGCGGGACCGCCCUCGGGCGAGUGGGCGUAGCGCGUCCACGAGCAGCGCCGGUGCAUGUUCGACUCGCAGGGGCUGCUGCCCAGCCGCGACAUGCUCUGGUACCUGUUCCUCAGGCCGUAGUUCCCGUCGGCGUUCGACCUCGUGUGGCUCGUCAAGUCCAAGGAGCUGUUCCGCCGGCACCUCUGCGUUCGCCUGUUUAGUAGCCACAGUGGCCGCAGCGGCACCGCCGACACGUGCCACUGCGUCCACCUCCUCGAGUUCUCGCACCACGCCGACGACGGGUAGACCCGCUCGCCGUAGCAGAAGCGGCGGCACAUGCCGGUCUACUCAUGGUACAAGCACAAGGUCCCCUUGUGGGAGCUGUUCGCGUACCCGCGGGUGAAGAGGUAGGGGAGACGGAGCGAGAGGCAGAAGCUGUGGGAGUCGCAGUAGCGGACCCACGGGCAGAUGCUGGCGGAGGAGCAGGGCCAGCAGGCGAGCAAGUGGCCGGUGGGGGCGCCGAAGUGCGUCGAGGUCGCGUACCCACAGCCGGAACAGCAGAGUUAGAAGAGGUACCAGCGGCGGCCGCACGAGCUCGAGCAGGCGGAGGCGUGCCAGCGCGCCGUGCCCGAGAUGCCCCUCCUGCUGUAGCACGGGUAGAGGUAGAAGACCGUCCACGGCGUCAUGAAGUAGUAGCCGCGGCGGCUCCACAAGCAGAAGCACCCCGUCGAGCUAAAGAAGAUGCUGGUCCGCGGCCUGCGGUACUCCUCAUACACGUGCCGCGACAGCGAGUGCCGCUAUCGCGACCCCCCGAUGCACUCGUGCGACGACCACUGCCACCACCGGUUCCACUGCUGCUCUCCACCUUUCCUUCCCACCUAGGGCCGGUUCUUGGAGUUGCAGCCGGUGGAGCUGAUGAAGAAGACCGACUACUGGCACGAGUCGCAGCAGUUGAAACGACAGAUGGAUGGGUAGCGGUUGACCAUGUGGAUGUUCUUCUGGCGGCCUCGGCCUCUGCUGGUCCUGCGGUUGCUUCAUCCACUACUAAGCUGGCGGCCUCGGCCUCUGCCAGUCCUGCGGUUGCUUCAUCUACUACUAAGUGGAUUUAGUCCUCUGUCUUCUUUUAUCUAACAACUUUCGUUCUUAACCAUCAUGAAGAGAACUUUUCUAAACUAUCUUUUUACACAACUUUACAGGAACUUUAUUCUCUAA